rnacentral:misc_RNA from 1 species
UUUUCGAUCAAAGGUUUGACAGUACCACUUAUUUCCUCGGCCGAAUAAACACACAAACUAAAAACACUUUGUAACGUACCUGACUACACCUGACAUACAAGAACAAAUAAAAAAAGCAGGAUAAAACGUAACUUUAGAAAAAAUGUUUUGCAAUAUGUUUGCUAGCAGAACUUUUGUAAAAGUUUGCAUGUAUUUGUCUUGUCUUGCUGGCCUUGGUAUCGCUUCCUUGAUCAAUGCUGAAGUCAUUUCGUCGUUCUUUGGAGUAACGAGAGAGAAGGACAUUGAAAGAAAUAGCCUUGAAGUGGCUUCUUUUACACGAGAAACUCAAGUAUUAAACUGUGUGCUUAGUUGCUUGCGAGAAAAGAACUGUUCACUGUCAAGCUUCAAUGGUAAAGAUAUUGGAGCUUGUCUUCUUUAUCGUAAAAGCAAUUCUUCAGAGCUUGAAGAUAGUAGUUUGAGAAGUCCAGACUUUACCCAUUUCAAGAAGCUUGGUGAAUAUGAUCCUCAAAAAAAGCGAUUCAUGAACGACCCAGAUCUAGAUGAUGGCUCUAUUUCAGCCUUCAAACAAUCGAAAAGUGAACCUACUUCUUGCGCUGAUAUUAACAACAAAACAAAUGGAAUAUACAGCAUAAAGCUUCCAGAUGACAAAUAUGCACAAGUGUAUUGUAUCAUGGAGAAUAUCACAGGAUGUGAUAAUGGUGGCUGGGCACUCGCCAUGAAGAUUAAUGGUUACAAGAUUUCAGAUUUCAAAUCUCUGACCGACAACGUUUUUUGAAAUAUGUGUAUAGCAAUUAUACAAGAGGCAGAUGUGUGUCGUCCAGGAUUUUCCGUUUGGGUACGGUUCAUUCCCACGUCAUUUCGACAAAUUAUGCCUCCCUCCCCUCCCAUCUGCUCUACCCAAAACACACUGCACUUGACAGUGGCAAGGAAGGAUGUCUCAGGGAGGGAGGGAGCUCCCUGAGAGUCAACGUUUACAUUCGAGUCGUCUUACUGGACUAACACACAAACUCUGAACUACCCGACAAACAUGGCGAGUCUAGAUGACGAAGAAAUNAAAUCUCCCAUAUUCUCUGAAAUUAAAGCAAG